rnacentral:lncRNA from 1 species
AUGGUGGUGGUGGUAAGGGUGAUGGUGGUGAUGAUAGUGGUGGUAGUCAUGGUGAUGGCGGUGGUGAUGGUGAUGAUGGUGAUGAUGGUGGUGGUGGUGAUAAUGGUGGUGGUGGUGGAUGAUGAUGGUGGUGGUGAUGUGGUGUGGUAUGGAUGGUGGAUGGAUGGUGAUGCUGAUGUGGAUGGUGGUGUGAUGUGGAUGGUGGUGAUAAUGGUGAUGGUGGUGAUAAUGGGUGGUGGUGGUGAUGCUGGUGAUGGUGGUGAUAAUGGUGGUGGUGGUGGUGAUAAUGGUGGUGGUGGUGGUGGUGGUGGUGGUGAUGGUGAUGAUGGUGGUGGUGGUGGUGAUGGUGGUGGUGGUGAUAGUGGUGGUGAUGGUGAGGUGGUGGUGGUGGUGAUAAUGGUGAUGGUGGGUGGUGGUGGUGAAGAUGGUGGUGGUGGUGGUGGUGAUGAUGGUGAUGGUGGUAAUAAAGGGGUAGGUGGUGGUUGUGAUGAUGGUGAUGGUGGUGGUGGUGGUGAUAAUGGUGGUGGUGGUGGUGAUUAUGGUGGUGGUGGUGGUGAUAAUGGUGAUGGUGGUGGUGGUGGUGAUAAUGGUGGUGGUGGUGGUGGUGAUAAUGGUGGUGGUGGUGAUGAUGGUGAUGGUGGUGGUAGUGGUGAUAAUGGUGAUGGUGGCAGUGGUGGUGGUGAAGAUAAUUGUGGUGGUGGUGGUGGUGAUGGUGAUAAUGAUGGUGGUGGUGGUUGUGAUGAUAGUGAUGGUGGUGGUGGUGGUGAUAAUGGUGGUGGUGGUGGUGGUGAUUAUGGUGGUGGUGGUGGUGAUAAUGGUGAUGGUGGUGGUGGUGGUGAUAAUGAUGGUGGUGGUGGUGAUUAUGGUGGUGGUGGUGGUGAUAAUGGUGAUGGUGGUGGUGAUAAUGGUGCUGGUGGUGAUGGUGAUAAUGGUGGUGGUGAUAAUGGUGAUGGUGGUGGUGGUGAUAAUGUGAUUGUGGUGGUGGUGGUGAUGAUAAUGAUGGUGAUGGUGGUGGUGAUGUGGUGGUGGUGA